CCUGAAUUACAAUAACUAACCAAAUUGAAAAAUAAUAAAAACAUUAUUUUUGUAAAUUUCCCGUUAUUCUUACGUUCUAUCCUGGUUUUUCUCAGAUAUUAUGAAAACCGCUUGGAAAAUAUGAAAAUGACCUCCCAAAAGUAUCCUUUUCAGAAAUGGUGUCACGCGUAUAAAUCUGAGCAUGAUUUCUGGUAGAAUUUUUGUACACAGUAUAAAAAUAAAAAAUGAAAAAACUCUUAGUGAAACCGAU